ACUCCAUUAACUCAGUGGUUAGAGUUCGAAGCUUAUACCUUCGCGGUCCUUGGUUCAAAUCCAAGAUGGAGUA
rnacentral:tRNA from 1 species